rnacentral:lncRNA from 1 species
GAUCCAUUAACAAUGCCAUGGAUAAAAAUGUUUGGACUUAUCUUCCUAAUUAAGUUUAAAACAGCAUUCCUCGGACUAUUCGACACCACUGUUUCAUCAAGUAAGUUCCUGAACCGGAACAGACAAUUUACAGCAACAAACUCAUCAGGAUCAAGCUUCAGGUCAUCAAUUUUGAUGGUUUCCCAUUUUUGUCCGAUGGCAGUGUAUUGGAAUGGAACAUUAAAACGCUCACAAUAUUUUUCUAAGCGACGCCCUGUCUCCUGUACUCCUUCUGCUGGCCGGAAACCACUUUGUGGAAGCUCUAUACCUGUAAUUCGUAGUUUGGCAGGUCCCCCGGGUCUUAUUGAGAGGCGAUGGAUGAGGGCAGGCCACUGAAAACCAUACGAGAUUCCAAAGUCAAUGAUAUGAAGAGCUGUUGCCUUCUCAGCUGCAGACAAAGUAAUAUGGUUUGCAAAUAUAAUUGCAAUCUUCAUGAAUGGACAGCUUGAUAUAUAUGUCUGGUAAGCUUUCAACAUAACAACAGCCAAAUUUCUUUUGGAAGAAAGAGCAGAGUAAAUCUGAGCUCCAGUGCCGGCCAACCGCGCCUCAAGACUAUUAGCGAAAUAGUGAGCUAGCCUCUGGGAUCCAUCACCAAAAAAUGAAGAGUGCUGCCUAAUCUGUUUUAGUAGUUCAUUUGCAGUUCUGCUGUCAUUAGCAGCGACAGCUUGGGCACACGAAAUCAGCAGAGUCCUCAAAUCCACAACCUCCUCAUUCCUUCCUGAUUUCUUAACUUGAGAUUUUCCACCAUCAGAUCCAUUUCUCAGUCCAUUCUUCUUCAAUGUCUUGCUUGAUUCAUUCUGCACCAGAGCCUUCAGAGCUCCUUGCUCUGAGGAGUAAUCAAGAAUGCACACUCCAGGCUGCUCAUUCCUACCACUAAAAAGCAACACCUUAUCAAACAUCUCCGAUAGAUCACUCUCAUCUACAUAAACAGCUGACUGCUUCUCACCCCGCCCAUCUUCAAGAUCUUCAUCUUCUCGCUUAUGACUCUUCUUUCCUAUCAACUGAUUAGGUGACAGCUUCCUGUCAUCCUUCUCUGUCUUGACUACCACAUUUGGAGCCUUGUCCUUUAACUCUGCUGCCUGUUUGUAGCUCUCCAAGUCAAAAAUCAGCUGAUUACCUUUAGGAAGGAACUUACUGGCUUCCUCUACUCCCCUUUGGAACUGCAACACUGAGUGACUCUGAUUAAACAAAUUGUUAGCCAAAAGCUUACUCACCGAUGACCUCACCAAUCCAUUACCAUGAUAAGAAACAUUAUCAGCAGAGUUGAAUGAUGAUUUUUUACCAGAGUUUGCAGUGGACUGAAAUACAAAGUUAGUAGGAAAUGGUGUUUGUAACCAUGAUAGCUGAUGCUCAACAAGAUUACGAGUUGAUCUCGAAUCAAAUGAAGUGCUAGUACUAGGACUAGAAUGACUAUUGGUACUAGAAUCACUGAAACCACUGGAAUAACAGUCAUCUGGGUCAACAGUUUGAUUGCUGUAAAUAGGGGGUUGAUAGGGGGAAGGUGGAUACUUCUCACCGAUAACUUCAUAUAAUGAUUUCUCAGCUGCUUGAAGGGCCAAAGCAUCAUGAAACAUACAAGGCUUCUCUUCCAUGUCCUCCUCCAUAAGCACCUGGCUUAUGUACUUAAGAACAGUUUCCGAGAAGUCAUUAUCAUCAGAGUGGCAAGAAGAAUCACCCUCUAUAAUCCUGCUCCUGGACGGAUCAGAAUUUGGAAGCCUUGGAUCAGAUGGAACACCUAUAAACUGUAAAUCUAAGGUAGGGUUGUUCUGUUUGAAUCCAUCUCCUAAAUUUUGGCUCUGGUCUGAAUUGGGGAAAAUAGAUUCAUUCUCAAAUUUGAAACCUUCUAUGGAAUUUAAGUAUUCAUUAAACUGGUGAUCCAUAUUGAAUUUCUACUUUUCUAAUCAACCUCCCUAGACUCCUAAUCCUAUUAAAAAGAAUUUCACAGGAACCCUGGACCUCUAUCGGCGUCAAUCAAAAACCAGCCACAAAAAGAAAAGAAAGAAAAGAAAAGAGAAACAAAAGAUUUUCCUAAACCCCAAAAUCCAAUUCACAGAUUAAAAAACAAACACAUAAACGAAAUCAAAUUUAAAGAAGAGCCGAUAUCUUUUUUCUUUUUGGAAAUAAAGAGUGUGAAGUAUAUUAUGCGGCACAAAGGGGGUGCCAACCCUGUACAAAAAAUUUACAAAGAAGUAAUAAUAUUUAUGACAUUUCCAAAGUCAUCCUCCCUAUAAAUUAAAGAAGACCUGAUAUCAAAAAUCAACUACUUCUCCAUCCUCAACAACACUCCAUCAUCCACAACCAGAAACUAAACCCAAUACAGGAACUGAUAACACACUGAAAGUAGACAACCCAGAGAAAUAAACGUAAAGAAAACCUCAAAACUCGAUCACCUCCACUAAAACAAGAUUAAUACAAGGAAUCUUUGAUUCAGGAAAACGAAAAGCUACAUAUACAGGAGAAUAGAUACGGAUUCUGUGGUACUUUUUGAACCUUGGAGAAAGGCAAAGAAGUGGGUAAGUUAGAGGACGCCAAACCUCGUUCUUUGUCUUUUUAAACAAUGCUAAAGAAUCGGACAGCCUUUAUCUUCUUUCAUAAUCCUGCUUCAUGGAAGCAUCCUGGAGAAAGAUACUGAUUCAUCAGGUGGAAUAAAAUAUCAAACCCAAAACGCAAGAUCGUUUUCUCUCCGGCCUUUGACCAAACCCCUAACUGCUCUUCUUUUCAUUGGUCUGUCACCGGCGUCUACUUCUCUUUUACCCUGACUCAUUUGUUGUGUAAUCACCUGAGGUCUCUGAGUGUCUCCGUGCAUUUCGGAGACCGAAAAUCAAAGUCAAACGAGUGUGGUCAAGUCAGAACGAGCUGCUCCAGCCAAAAAAAAAACAAGGUUUGUUUGGAGAAAUCGUAUUUAUAUUUAUUAAUUUUUAACAUUUUAGAUAAGUUUCUUUUUAUUAAAAGAAAUUGUAAUCGAUAAUAUAUAAAUUGUUAUUAUCUUAGUUAUUUUAUUAUUUAAAUAAUUUUAUUUGUACCUUUAAAAAAAAAUAAUAAGUAAAUAUUAUAAAUCUAUACAUAUAAUUUUUUACCAAAUUAAUGAGAAAAGAUAAACAGAAAUCUUCCUACAUCCAUUGUAAAAAAUUGGAUUGCAUUAUGCGGUAAAUAUUUUCGACUCAACACAUCGUCUCAAAAGCUAUUUUUCUUUUAUAAAGAAAUUUAAAAAAAAUAAAAUAAUGCGUGUGUGAUUCGGGAACCAUAUCCGUUUAUUUAUAUCGAUGUACUUUUAUAUUUAUAAUUUUGUUCAUUAUAAAAUGAAAAAUUAUAAAAAUAAUAUCCGCACAUAUUAAUUUCAUAUAUAAAUUCGAUGCAUUAAGUCAAAUUUCGUUUAACUGUACUCGAUUAUUUUUAAACGAACUCAUAAAUUAACAGUUUGUUACGCACGUAUUACACCAAUAUAAUAUUUAAAGAAUUAAAUAUAAUUUUUUUUUGAGUAAUAAUAACUUUGCCAAUAAACUUUGUUCUAAAGUCUAAUAGGGUAUUAAAUUCCUUAUAUACAGUGUGAAAUUAUGAUGUCUUGAUUAAGACAAAGACACAGACAACACCUGAAUUUCUAUUUAAUUACUUUGUUUAUAACUAAACAUGUUCAUUAAAUUUAUUUAUAAUUAGCAAGUUGUAGUUUUUUUUUUUUUUUUUUUUUUACUCCUUUUGACAAUCUGAUACUUGGGGAACAAGAAUUAGAAGUGCUAAUCCACAUGCUUAAUAUAUAUAAUUUAAUACAAAAUUGUAGGACAAAUAAAAAUGUUGUUUGGAGAGUAGUAAAGCGAGAAACCAACAGCAGCAAUGCAUAAACAGAGGCAAAACCAAAAUGUUUCUGCAUCAUUGACGCUUCAAAAUCUAGGUAUUACAGUUCAACAAGAACUUGUGGAGGACACAAAUGUAAACUCUUAUUGCAUACAAAUGAAGAAGUAAUUUGCUUUGAUCUCAAAGUUACAUCACAUAAUAGUGUUGUGAUCAGGCAAAUGAAAGCAUGUUGGAGAACCCAGAUGAUGCGGAGAAUAUGCUUUCAUUGAAAUCGAGUUGGGUGCUCUAUUGCAGCGAUUAAAAAGUCUCCAGAGAACUUGCAGAUCUGAACAGCUUCCAAGUCCCAGACUGCUCUCUCGGUUAGAUUACUAAAAACUAAUAUCCCCACCUAUAAAGAAAGAAAAGCAUGUGCAAUUAAGUAUUGUUUGGAGAGGAGUAUGUGGGGGAGAAACCAACAGCAGCAAUGCAUAAACAGUCAUAUGUGGCUAAGGGUGUGUUUGGCUAAAUGUUUCUGCGUCUGCAUCAUUGAAGCUUCACCCUAAACAUUAAAUAAAGGAAAAGAUCACAAAAGGAUGCUAAGAACGCUGAAGACCAUGAAAAAGUAGAGUCUAUAUGUAAGAAGAUUCAGAUUCAGAGAAUGAGUCAUGAGGGCUUACUGUGUCAACUCAAGAUGAUGCUGUAUACAACGAAUGUCUUUCAAGAAACAAAAUCCCUUUUUUUUCUCUUCCUCUCCAUCUAAAACCAACAUGGCCCUUGUUGAUUUUUAAAGUUCCGAUGCUAUGCAGGUAUCCAAGCAGAGGAAGCACAGACAACACGUCCCUUCCAACCCUGCAGCAUCCAUCCACCAUCUUCAUCCACCAUAAAAUCAUUGUGGUAACCGUCUUUCACCUUGCAUUUAAAUUUCCUCAUCAGUUCAGGGUCCAAAGUCAGCUGUCUAAAUCCAGCUCGUAAAUUCCGACCCUGCCACUGCUUGUAUGUCUCGGGUCUCUCAACCCUCCCAUUUCCUUCGCAUGCUAUUACAUUCAUAAUCUCCCGCCCAUAGAACUCUUUCUCAAACAUCAACCUCAUCUCAUCUUCACGAGGCAUAUUAGUAUCACACAUAUCAAACAGUACAGAGUAGUAAGAGAGUGCCUCCUUGAAACGUGUGACAAAGAAGGGGGUAUUAUAGGAUCCAUUAACAAUAGCUUGGAUAAAAAUGUUUGGACUUAUCUUCCUAAUUAAGUUUAGAACAGCAUUCCUUGGACUAUCCAACGCCACUGUCUCAUCAAGCAAGUUCCUGAACCCGAACAGACAAUUUACAGCAACAAAAUCAUCAGGAUUAAGCUUCAGGUCAUUGAUUUGAUGGUUUCCCAUUUUGUCCAAUGGCAGUGUAUUCGAAUGGAACAUUAAAACGCUCACAAUAUUUUCUAAGCGACGCCCUGUCUCCUGUACUCCUUUCGCUGGCCAGAAACCACUUUGUGGAAAGCUCUAUCCCCGUUAUCCGUAGUUUGGGAGGUCCCCCCGGUCUCAUUGAGAGGCGAUGGAUGAGGGCAGGCCACUUAUAACCAUAAGAGAUUCCAAAGUCAAUGAUAUGAAGAGUUGUUGCUUUCUCAGCUGCGGACAAAAUAGUAUGGUUUGCAAAUAUAAUUGCAAUCUUCAUAAAUGGACAGCUUGAUAUAUAUGUCUGGUAAGCUUUCAACAUAAGAACAGCCGAAUUUCUUUUGGAAGAAAGAGCAGUGUAAAUCUGAGUUCCAGUGCCGGCCAAUCGUGCCUCAAGACUAUUAGCGAAAUAGUGAGCGAGCCUCUGGGAUCCAUCACCAACAGAUGAAGAAUGCUGGCUAAUCUGUUUUAGUAGUUCAUUUGCAGCCCUGCGAUCAUUAGCAGCCACAGCAUGGGAACACAAAAUCAGCAGAGUCCUCAAAUCCACAACCUCCUCGUUCCUUCCUGAUUUCUUACCUCGAGAUUUUCCACCACCAGAUCCAUUUGUCAGUCCAUUCUUCUGCAAUGUCUUGCUCGAGUCAUUCUGCACCAGAGUCUUCGGAACUCCUUGAUUUGGGGAGUAAUGAAGAAAGCACGCUCUAGGCUGCUCAUUUCCACCACCAAAAAGCAACAACUUAUCAAACAUCUCUGAUAGCUCACUCUCAUCUGCAUAAACAGCUGACUGUUUGCUGCUCCGCCCAUCUUCAAGAUCUUCAUCUUCUCGCUCAUGACUCUUCUUUCCUAUCACCUGAUUAGGUGACAGCUCCCUUUCGUAUUGUUCUGUCUCGAUUACCACGUUUGGAGCCUUGUCCUUUGACUCUGCUGCUGGUCUGUAGCCCUCCAAGUCAAUAAUCAGCUGAUUACCUUUAGGAAGGAACUUACUACCUUCCUCUACCCCCCUUUGGAACUGCAACAUUGAGUCACUCUCAUUAAACAAAUUUUUAUCCAAAAGCUCAUUCACAGACGAUGCCACCAACCCAUUACCAUGAUAAGAAACAUUAUCAGCAGAGUUGAACGAUGACUCUUGACUAGAGUUAGCAGCGGACCCAAAUACAAAGUUAGGAGGAACUGGUGUUUGUAACCAGGAUGGCUGAUGCUCGACAAGAUUACCUGUCGAUUGGGAAUCGAAGGAAGUGCUAGUGCUAGGACUAGAAUGACAGUUGGUACUAGAAUCACUGAAACCACUGGAAUAACAGUCAUCUGGGCUAUCAACGGUUUGAUUGCCGUAAAUAUGGGGUUGAUCAGGCGAAGGUGGGUACUUCUCACCGAUUACUUCAUAUAAUGAUUUCUCAGCUGCUUGAAGGGCCAAAGCAUCAUGAAACAUACAGGGUUUCUCUUCAAUGUCCUCAUCCAUAAGCACCUCGCUUAUGUACUUAAGAACAGUUUCACUGUCAAAUGUGAAACCCUCCAUGGAAUUGAAGUAUCCAUUAAACUGGGGAUCCAUAUUGGAUUUCUACUUUUCUAAUUAACCUUCCAAGACUCCAAACCCUAUUAAAAAGAAUUUCACAGGAACCUUGAACCUCUGUUAGCUUCAAAUUAAAAACCACCCACAAAAAAAAAAAGAGAAAAGAAAGAAAGAAAGAAAGGAGCAACAGCUUUUCCUAAACCUUAACACCUAAUUCACAGAUUAAAUGGAAUCAAAUUUAAAGAGAACAAGACAUCAAAAACAUUCCAUCAUCCACAACCAGAAACUAAAACCAAUACACGAACUGACAACACACUGAGAAUAGACAACCCAGAGAAAUAAACUUAAAGAAAACCUCAAAACUCGAUAACUUCCACUGAAACAAGGUGAAUAGAAGGAAUCUGUGACACAAGAAAACGAAGAGCUACGUAUAACACAGAUUCUCCGCUACUUUUUGAACCCUGGAGAAAGGCAAGGAAGCGGGUUAGUUAAAGGACCAAGACAGAGUUACCUCGUUCUUUUGUCCUUUCUUAACAAGGCUGAAGAAUUGGAGAGCCUGUCUUCUUUCAAGAUUCUGCUUCAUGGAAGCAUCCUGGAGAAAGAUACACCUUUAUCAGGUGGAGAAAAAUAUCAGACCCAAAAAGCAAGAUCGUAUCUCUCCGGCGUUGAUCACAGUCCUAAAUACUCUUCUUUAAUUGGUCUAUUAUCUGUUCCCGUCACCGGCGUUUCCUUCUCUUUCACCCUGACUCAUCCAUUUUCCAGUCACUUCGGAACCCAACCAGUGUAGUGUAGUGCGUCCUCUUUGCAAACGUCGCCUUUUAUCAACUGAUGAAUUCACGUGUUAAAAAUUUUAGACACGACACGGCUUCGUAGUGUGAAAUCGGCGCCAGCCGAAGGGAAAAAAAAAACGCAUGUUUGGAGAAUAUCGUAUUUUAUAUUUAUUAAUUUUUUUAUUUUAGAAGUAAUAGAAAAACAAUUUAAUAAAACUAAUAAUAGCAGUAAUGUGAAUCGUAUUUAUAUUUAUUAAUUUUUUAAAACAUUUUAAGAUAAAUUUCUUUUGAUUAAAAAGAAAUUGUUAUCGGUAAUAUCUAAAUAGUAGUAAACAUAAAAUAUACAGAACUACAAUAAAAAAGCUUCUUAUUUUAAAUGUAUUUUGCUUAUCUUAAUUAUUUUAUUAUUUAAAUAAUUUUUUCCGCACCUUUUAAAAAAAUAAUAACUAAAUAUUAUACCAAUAUGGUAUUUAAAUAAUUAAAUAUAAUUUUUCGACUAAUAAUAACUUUGCCAAUAAACUUUGUUCUAAAGACUAAUAGGGAAUUAAAUUCCUUAUAUACAGUGUGAAAUUUGUUCAAUAUUCAACGGAAAGAAAAAAACAACUUUUUAUUUCAGAAAUUAAAAAAAAAACAAUUUAAGGAAUCUAAUAAUAACAGUAAUAUAAAUUCAUAUGUUUAUUGAAUGCAUCGGUAAAAAGAAUACAAUCAUAACGAUGUAAACUGAUAAUGAGAUUGCCAAAUGCUUUUCUGCUGUUCUUCGGUUGAAAUCAACUUCUGAAAUAACAAAAUCUAGCUACAUUAAGGUGUCACAGAUCAACAAGAACUGGAGGAGGAGACAAAUGUAAUAUCCCAUCGUAUACAAAUGAAGAAGUAAUUUUCUUUGAUCAUAAAGUUACAUCGGAUAAUAGUGUUGUAAUCAGGCAACGAAAGCAUGUUGGAGAACCCAGAUGAUGUGGAAGAUAUGCCUAUUGAAAUCGAGUUGGGUUGCAGCAAUUAAAAAGUCUCCGGAGAAGUUGCAGAUCCGAACAGCUUUCAAGUUCCUGCCGGCUCUCUUGGUUUGAUUGCGAAAAACAAAUAUCCCCCACCUAUAUAAAGAAGGAAAAGCAUGUGGAAUUAAGAAUUGUUUGGAGAGGAGGAAUUGGGGCAGAAACGAGCAGCAGUAAAUGCAUAAACGGAGGCAAACCCAAGAAGUUCAUAUGUGGCUAAGGGUGUGUUUGGCUAAAUGUUUUUGCAUCUGCAUCAUUGACGCUUCACCCUAAACGUUAAAUAGAUGAAAAGAUCACAAAAGGAUGUUAAGAACAGUUGGAGACCACAAAAAAAAUAGAGUCAAUGUAAUAAGAUUCAGAUUCAGAGAAAGGUUCAUGCAGUCUUACUGUGUCAACCCAAGAUGAUGCUGCAUUCUACAAAUGUCUUUCAAGAAACAAAAUCCCAUUUUUUAUUCCCCUCUCCUUUUAAAACAAAUGAUGCCCUUGUUGAUUUUAGAGUUCUGAUGUUAUGCAGGUACCCAAGCGGAGGAAGCAUAGACAAUCCUUCCCUUCCAACCCUGCAGCAUCCAUCCACUAUCUUCAUCCACCAUAAAAUCAUUGUGGAAACUGUCUUUCACCUUGCAUUUAAAUUUCCUAAUCAGUUCAGGGUCCAAAGGCAGCUGUCUAAAUCCAGCCCUUGAGUUCCGAACCUGCCACUGCUUAUAUGUCUCGGGUCUCUCAACCCUCCCAGUUCCUUCGCAUGCCAGUACACUCAUAAUCUCCCGCCCGUAGAACUCUUUCUCAAACAUCAACCUCAUCUCAUCUUCACGAGGCAUAUUAGUAUCACACAUAUCAAAGAGUGCAGAGUAGUGAAAGAGUGCUUCCUUGAAACGUGUAACAAAGAAGGGGGUAUUAUAGGAUCCAUUAACAAUGGCUUGGAUAAAAAUGUUUGGACUUAUCUUCCUAAUUAAGUUUAGAACAGCAUUCCUUGGACUAUCCAACACCACUGUCUCAUCAAGUAAGUUCCUGAACCGGAACAAACAAUUUACAGCAACAAACUCAUCAGGAUUAAGCUUCAGGUCAUUGAUUUUGAUGGUUUCCCAUUUUUGUCCAAUGGCAGUGUAUUCGAAUGGAACAUUAAAACGCUCACAAUACUUUUCUAAGUGACGCCCUGUCUCCUGUACUCCUUUUGCUGGCCUGAAACCACUUUGUGGAAGCUCUAUCCCCGUUAUCCGUAGUUUGGGAGGUCCCC